UACGUAGGGGGCAAGCGUUGUCCGGAAUCAUUGGGCGUAAAGAGCGUGUAGGCGGCCCGAUAAGUCCGCUGUGAAAGUCCAGGGCUCAACCCUGGAAUGCCGGUGGAUACUGUCGGGCUCGAAUCCGGAAGAGGUGAGUGGAAUUCCUGGUGUAGCGGUGAAAUGCGCAGAUAUCAGGAGGAACACCAAUGGCGAAGGCAGCUCACUGGGACGGUAUUGACGCUGAGAAGCGAAAGCAUGGGGAGCGAACAGG
rnacentral:rRNA from 1 species